CAGCAGCCACGGGAAUACGGAGGGGGCUAGCGUUGUUCGGAAUUACUGGGCGUAAAGCGCACGUAGGCGGCUUGGUAAGUUAGAGGUGAAAGCCCGGAGCUCAACUCCGGAAUUGCCUUUAAGACUGCCGAGCUAGCAGGUGAGAGAGGUAAGUGGAAUUCCGAGUGUAGAGGUGAAAUUCGUAGAUAUUCGGAAGAACACCAGUGGCGAAGGCGGCUUACUGGCUCAUACUGGACGCUGAGGUGCGAAAGCGUGGGGAGCAAACAGGAUUAGAUACCCCCGUAGUCCCUGUCUCUUAUAC
rnacentral:rRNA from 1 species